UUGUUAUCUCAGAUUCUCCAGCAUCUGCAGGUCCUGCUAUCUGUUUCUAUAUUGGGCCCCUGCUUUGUAAAGGCAGAUGCAAAACUCUCUUGAAGAAUCGUGCCCAUAUCUUCUGCCUCCCACACAGGUCAUCUUUUUGGCCUUGAAUCCCUACUUGUUCCUUAGUUGUUCUGCUGUUCUUCUGCAGUGAAGAGUGGUUGGGGAGGAAACAAGAUUUGUUGUCUGUCAACAUAUUUAUUCUGAAUCUUCUCUGCCUCCACCUUGAAUGUGUCCCACUGGUCUGACAUUGGUUGAACUUCAAGUAGUUGUUUCCAGUCUCAGUUUAUUAAAAUUGUCCGUUCCUCAGUUAAAAGUUCUACUCUUGUUCUAUCUUUGUUCCUUUCUGUAAUUAUGUGAAAUCUACUUAAAUUAUGAUCAUUACCACCAAAAUACUGUUCUACUAACAGUUUCUCAGGUUUAUUCCCUGAAGCUAAAUCUAAAACAGCCUAUUCUCUGGUGAGACUUCUACGUGCUUGCCAGAAAAAAAGUAUAUUUAAAGGAUUCUUUGCCCUUUACACCUUUCAUGUUGAUUUUGUCCAUUAAUACCUAAGUUAUUAAUCAAUUAUCUUGUUUAUUUUCUAAUCUUUGUUUCCUUAGCAAUCUUCACUUAAUGAGUUUAUGCCUUCCUUUUUCAACUUUGCUUUUUCUCCCUUCUGAGUUUGACUGGGAUUCCCAUAGAUCUGUCAAGCCAUUUCAAAAUCUCCUUGCUGCAACAAUGGUCCUGGCAGUAUUCAUUUAUUUCUUCUACAAUGUGCAAGUUGUGCUGAGGGCCUGGACAAUAGCUGAUGCAGCAAUUUAGUUCAAGAAGGGCGAUUGACAGGAGGCUGACAAGAUAGUUCACUGAUGAUCAACAAACUCUCAGAUGAGGUAAAAAUUAGUAUUUAGAAAGGCAUUGGUUAAUCAAGUGCAUUUAACAUAGAAUUGUUAAAGAUCAGCUGCAUUUGACAAACUUUCGAGUGCUUUGCAAAAUGACCAAUUUUGUACAGAAAUGCAGUAGAUGAAAUAUGUACGGAUUUUCACAAGAUAUUCAAUGAAAUGUCUCCCAAUAGUGUUCUAAUUCCAAUUGCUGGUAAUAUUGAUCAAGUCAGAUUCUAGAAUGAAACAUAGCUUGAUAGACAACAAGUUUCAUUUUUGUAAUUUGUUUACUGUGGUGGUCAGUCAUUAAACAUAUUCACAUGUGGUUUGAACAAAAAAAACUUUCAAGGUUUAUUACAUACAAAAGAAAGAAAAACUAUUUUACAUUAUAGAGGAAUGAUUUAAAACUGUCUACUUAUAGUUAUCAGAAAUAAGUAUUCAACCCUGAACAGCAGCCUUAAAGAUACUUAAACCUCAGUGAAGAACCACCCUAUUUUAACCAGAUAUUUUCUAAUCACCCAGUUCAGAGAUGUGAGACUUGAAAUGGUAUCUCCUGGCUUAGAGGUAGGGACGCCACCACUGUGCCACAAGAACCCAAUAUCUAAUUUCUAAUCAACCUGCUCAGAGAUGUUCUUGAACAUCCUUGGAGCACGUGGGACUUGGGCCUAGGUUUCCUGACCCAGAGGUAGGGUCACUGCCAUUGUACAGAAGAUCCCUCCCUAAUUAACCUGUUGUGACAAAGCUAUGGAGCUGGUGAGACUUAUACCUAAGCCUCCUGGCUCAGAGGUAUGGACACUACGACUGUACCAUAAGAACCCAAUAUUUCCACUUUAAACUUCCUGUUAAGUGGACACAGUUGUACUUAACAAGCCUGCAUUCAGUCAAAAACUAAUGCCUCUUAAAGAGACUCUUAAACAAAAUACUGAAGACCGCUCUCUUGUUUCUUAAUGGGGUCCAUGAACAGUUCUUCCACAGCUUUCUUUCUAGAGCUUUUCUCUUACUUACUUUUGAAUCACUUCUUUUCAGCCCAAACUGCUUUCAAGACUACUAAGCUUGCUGCCACAGACUAGUUCUCUUUGACAAUAACCUGCAACAGCCAUUAACCUUCUGGAUGGUUUUGUUUCUUUUUCUGAAGUAAAUCUUCCUUUGGUUUUUCUCUCUCUCUUUUGUAGGACCCAUUGUUGCUAUGCAACAGCCUAAUUUUUUCUCUCUUGUACCAUUUGUUUUAUAAAUCACAAAACUUUUCACUUAAAGGCGGUUUUAAAGCCUCAUUUAAAUGCAUGCAAGCAAUUUUCCAAAAAAGCUGGCACAUUCUCAAAACUCAAAAAAAUUAAAACUAUAUCUCCCUUCCUUAACCCACAAUGAAGAAAUACAGAUCGAGUUUAAAGCUAAACAUUAUACUGUCCAUUUUACAACCAAGUUUCUACAUAAUAAUAAUUGACAAACCUAUAUUACAAUAGAAAUUUGAUAGGAUUAAAAUUUGGUUGCCAGACAAGGAACAGUGAGUUAAGGUAAGUGAGAAUGGUUGGAAAUGAUGUAUUCUAGGAGACAGUUUUGGAUUCACUUUUCUACCAUAGGUACAUGAUUUAGAUACAACAUCAUAUUUAUAUGUCACUGGCUAUCCAAAUUCAAAGUUUGUUGGCACAAAUAAGUUAACGCGCUAACAAGCAGUGAGAAGGCUAUACAAGAUAUAAGCAAUUACAUUACCGUAAUGCUUAGACAAAUGGCAAAUGCAAUUUAACAUGGAUAAAUGUGAGGUAAUAAUUUUUAAGGAGAAACAAGGAAUGGAAUAAACACUUAAAGGAGAGAGGGUCUGCAUGAACUGAGAGCUAGAAUUCAAAAAGCUAGGAUUUCCUGAAAGUAUAAGUACAAUUUUUGAACCUACUCUGAGAAAGUACAGUAAAGCCAAAGGAAGCUGAAAUAAUAAAUUGGCCAUAUGAUACCUCAAAUAGAAAAUUUGAUUUGUAGAUAUGAAAAGACAGUUGUGAAACUGACACUGUUUCUGCCAAGUAGAAAUGGUUAAUGAGAGAUUUAGCAAAACUUGUCUUAAUUGAAUUUUGAUAACAUGAACAGGGAAAUACUUUUUCGUUUGGUCAUUAACAAAAGGCUAUCAAUUUAAAAUAGAGUGAAGAAAGUUGGAGAAAAUCUUUGCUACUUGAUACAUGGAAUGCUUUGAAAUGGAAUAUGGAUGAGGUUGAGAUGAUUGAAAACUUCAAUUUGAACAAAAUAAAGAGCUAGAGAGAAAUCAAGGUAGUAGGAUUGGUUUUCUAUUGGUCUAGCAAAGAACCAAUGGAGAUGUGAUGGGCUGGAAGGUUGCCUCCUGUUCUCUAGUCUUCCCUGGGUUGCAUAGGACGAAUCGCUGUCUAAAUGGAACUGUUACAUUUCAGAAGAAGUACCAAUAAAAUUCAACUGAGAAGAUUUAUGGAUUUGUAUUAUUAUUACUAUUAUUAUUAGCUAACUGUUGUACAUGUGACAUAAGACAUGAAUUGAAUGUGUAAUAGUGAAUUGAAGAGCAGUAAUUCUGAAUCCUUUAACAAAUUUGUUUAUAACACCAAAAUAAUUAUACUUUGCAACUGCUUUAAAAAGUUUUUAAAGUUGGCUAAUAUGUAUAACUUACCAAUGUCAAUAUCUGUUCAUAAAACAUGAAAUAGUUUUCUUUACAUUGCACAAGUCUCCUAUCACAUUGUCAUAACAAGUGCCGAAAUGUACCGUAAAAGUUGACUCAUACAAAAACAAACAAAUGCAUUUGUAUCCAAGUAUGUCAACUCGAAGAGGUUGUUUUGUGAUUUGCAAAUUGUGUUUUUAACAUUUAAUUUUUGUACAAGCUAUAUAAUGAUACCAUUCCUAUUGAAAUAAUGGUGCUCGAUGAUGACUGCUCUAAGCAUUUCUUUUGUCGAAGUAAAUAUCAAGAUGAUUGCGAUUUGGUUUUAUUUUGUAGUUUAUUCAGAGAAUGCUGUGAAUGAAGAAGUCCAUGUUUUCACCAGCCAGCACAUGUCGAUUUUUUGGGACUCCAAAAUUACUGAUAUUAUGUAAUUUCUGGACCUAGUUCUGCCUAUCCACCAUCUACAAGGAACAAGAUGUGUGUGAUGGAACUAUCUCCUUUUGCCUGGAUGAGUACAUCUCCAAUAACACUCAAGCUUGAUACUUUCCGGGACAAAGCAGCCUGCUCAAUUGGCACGCCAUCUAACACCUUCAACAUUCACUACCUAACACACAAUGGUCGUCAUGUGUGCCAUCUGCAAGAUGCACUGCAGCAGCUUACCAUGGCUCCGUUGACAGCACCUUUCAAAUCCACGACCUCUACCAUCUAGAAGGACAAGGCAACAGAUGUUUCGGAAAGCCACAAGCAAGUUCCUUUCCUUGCUGCACAUCAUCCUGACGUAGAACUGUAGUGUCAUUUCUUCACUGUCGCUUGGUCAGAACCCUGGAACCACCUUCCUAACAGCCUAGCGGGUAGACCUACACACCAAGGAUUACUGAGCAUCAUCAUCUUAAGGUCAAUUAGGAGUGAACAAUAAUGGUUGGCCUAACUAGUGACCACCGAAGUACCGUUGUCUGGAGUGUCUGAUUGAUUGACUUGCCUGCUGGCAUAUGGCAAAUGUCCAUUUGGGGUUGUUGAGUUCGCCACAUCUAGUGACAUGAGAAAUGCUCUGAACAAGCUGGAAGGUAAAGAGAUAAAUGGUCGAAAAAUAAGAUUAAUUGAAGAUCGGAAACGCAGAACCAGAAGCAGAUCGCACACUAGAAGUUCCUCAAGAUCUCGCAGUAGGUCACCAUCACCUAAACGGUCAAAGUCAGAAAGUAGGUCCAGAAGCAGGAGUCGUGGUAAAUCCCAUUCUGCCAGCAGAUCGCCUGCCAGGAAAGAUCAACCAACAAUGAAUAACCAGGCUCAUUCAAGAUCAAAAUCUCCUGGAUUGACAAACCAAUCAAGGUCCAGGUCACGUUCUGUUGAAAGUGCUGAUUAGAUUGUAAAAAGCUGUUGUCUUCAGAAAAUGAUAUUGGCUAUCUUUUGCUUGAGGUUGUUUGUGGAUGCUUCUUUGUUCAUCUAAGUUUUUGUUGAACUGUAAAAGAUAAUUAUUUCUUUGAUACAUAAAAGUCACUAAUGGAAAAUAAUUUACUUAAAUUAGAACUGGUUUUAGAGUUCUAUGCUGCUUUGGUAUUGAAUAUAUAAUGGAUAGAUUGAGUAAAUUGAUAUCAGAUUGUUGUUUCUGAAAAGCUGUAGGCACAACUUAGACUCUCUAGUUCACAAUUGUUUUCUGUUAAUUAUAAGUGAUACAUUAUACUUUGGAUUGAAACCAAAUAAAUGUUAUUACAACAUUUGAUUUUCUUAGACUAUUUCAUUGGUAUCUCUUCAAUGAAAAGCUUUGAAUUAACUGCUUGUUUUUGCUGCAUGAGUGCAACUGUAUGGUGACUUUUGAGUUUAUUUUAAAAGAUUUUAUUAGAAUUUGAUUUGAUUGUAUUUUCAUCUUUCUGUUUGUUAGCCUCAACUCAGUAUUACAGAUGGUGUCUCAAAACCAGUAAUCUUUGGUCCUUUGAAGUUUGGGGUAUGUUGUUGGGUCUCACGGAUUCAGGUGAUGUCAAGGAUUGCUCAGAAUGUUGGAGUAGAUUGACAUGCAAGUGGCAAAAUAGUUAACUAGUCCAGCACCAUGCAGUGUCUAGCUCAGUUGUCCAUAAAAGGUGUUUUAAUGUUUUACUCAACAAAGUCGUUGUGUGGCCCCUUCCUAAAAUACCUGGUUUUCAAAGAACUCCAGUCUUUUGAUACUUGGAUUUGAAACAUUGUACCCUGUAGCACUUUUGGCCUAGAGUGUGGAUUCAGUCUCCAUUCCACAGACUAGAACGUACAAUCCAAACUGUCACUUCAGUGCUGCAUUGAGGAAGCAUUGCACUAACCGAUGUACUCUUAUGAGAUUAGACAUCAAAUCCAUCCUUACAGAUGGAGUAAAAAAUACCAAAGUGCCAUUCAAAGAAGAGCUGGGAUGUCCAGACUUAAUCCCUCAGUCAUCAUCUUAGAGAAUAGGUCUGGUCAUUUAUGUCAUUACUGAUUUGUGGGACCUUGCUGUGUGCAUACAGCUGGUGUAUUUCCUUCAUUACAACAGUAACUCCACUUGAAUGUAAUUAAUUAACAGUAAAACUCUGGAAAUAGCUUUUAUGCAAUCUGAUUCAUAUUUUCAAGUAAGUUACUGGCAUGAGUAUUUUUCAAACUUUCUCUAUAUUUUCCAGUGAGAGCUGUAAUUCUCUUGGAGAAGGAAAAAGAGCUAUGCUAAUGAUGAUGUCCGCUUGCUGUAUGAGAUUAAUUGAGCAGUAAUUUUCUGCAAACAUAAUGUUGCUGAAGACUAUAAUGUUUUUGUAGACUAAUUAUUCACUGGCAGAAACUUAUACCUAGAUUCGAUCUAGCUGUACUUGGUCUGUAUGUUUUUUGCAUUUUCUUACUUGGGAAAUAAAGUAACAUUUUCUUGAAGCAAUUUAUAAAUAAAAUUGAAAUUCACUUAA